rnacentral:lncRNA from 1 species
GUCAAGCUUAUUUGUUAUUAUUUUGUAUCUUUCUUUAGAGACUUGCACGCAGGCUGAAGCACGUGGAAAAGGCAAAUUGGGGUGCCCAGAAAACUGCAAGAGUGUUCGAUGUUAUGAGGGCAGGCUACUGUACAUGUCAUCAGAAGGAAGCGAGGUCAACGAAACAACAAAAAGGAUCAUGCGUUACAACGUUCGUAGGCUACCCUGGGAGAGUCCAUCUCUAUACGAAGGGCAAAGAAAAAGUUAGACAGGCUCCACACCUUGUCUUUGUCAGAACUGGUACGGAGCAGAAUUGUUCCUCGCGAGGAUGGACAGCCCUCCAUUCGACCUAAGCCAAACGACUUCCCGGAGUGGGCAGCUAAGAACGAGGAUGAUAAUGUUGUUGAUGAGAGUGCCCAGUCAUUAUCCCUAGUGGCUGUUCGCUGAAUGACUCUGUUAAUGACAUUUUAAAUUAUCAUGACUCUGAUUGCUAUAGUUUUUCAGUAUAGUAAAGACCCACGAUAUAUCACCCAAAGUUUUCCAUGUUCUAAUGUAUUAAGAGUGCUUUAUAUAUUUGUUGUGAACCUGCAUGGCACCUGCAUUAAACAGGUUCAUACAAAAUUCUAAAUAGAAAUGUUAGACUGAAAGGUUUUUAUUCGUGGGUUUUCAUUCUGCACGUG